rnacentral:misc_RNA from 1 species
GGAAGGAUCAUUAUUGCACUGAAAAGUCUCUUAUGUGUGUCUCGCGCGAUUUUUUUCGAUCUCGUUUCCGGUUCCUCUAUAAUUAAUCAAUCAUGAGUCCAAGCAAUGGAUAUCUUGGUUCCCACAACGAUGAAGAACGCAGCGAAAUGCGAUACGUAAUGUGAAUUGCAGGGUUAAGUGAAUCAUCAAAUGUUUGAACGCAAGUUGCGCCACCCCGGUGGCAUGCUUCUUUGAGUGUCGGUUUCUUUCUGUUGGACGAUUUCGUGUAAUUGCCCUCGUGCGCAGCUCGCGUGUCGGUUGAAACAUAUGGACGCGCGUCGAUCGGGUGAGGCGGAAGCUUCGCUUAACAAAAAGACCUCAAAUGAAGUAAGACGACCCGCUGAAUUUAAGCAUAUAAUUAAGCGGAGGAGAAGAAACUAACGAGGAUUCCCUCAGUAACGGCGAGUGAAGCGGGAAGAGUUCAAACCUGGAAUCGCCUCGCGGCGAAUUGUGGUGUGUAAACGCGUGCCUCAGCGGCUGUGCCGGUGGAAGUCGACUGGAAAGUCGCAUCAGAGAGGGUGAAAAUCCCGUUCGACACUGGAUCCAGCAGUCGCGUUCGAGCCGUUGUUUUCGAGUCGGGUUGCUUGGGAGUGCAGCCCUAAGCGGGUGGUAAAUUCCAUCUAAAACUAAAUAUGUGUGGGAGACCGAUAGCGAACAAGUACCGUGAGGGAAAGAUGAAAAGAACUUUGAAAAGAGAGUAAAAAGUACUUGAAAUUGUUUGGAUUGAAGGGAUGACGCCCAGUCGGUCAGGAUGGCUUGGCGGCGGGUUUGUUGCUGGCGGGGGUAGGUGGCUCCUCGGAGUGUUUUAGCCCCGUGAGCAAAGCCUGCUGGCGAGCGAGGUCGCGGAUAGAUCCUGACGAAAUGGUCGUCAUUCACCCGUCUUGAAACACGGACCAAGGAGUCUUACAUGUGUGCGAGUGUUAGUGUGAGGAAGCAUUAUCGCGUAAUGAAAGUGAAUUUGUUCAAACGAGGGCGACUACGGUACGACCCGGAGCAUACAUGCAGGGACCCGAAAGAUGGUGAACUAUGCCUGGGCAGGAUGAAGCCAGGGGAAACUCUGGUGGAGGUCCGAAGCGAUACUGACGUGCAAAUCGUUCGUGUGAGCUGGGUAUAGGGGCGAAAGACUAAUCGAACCGUCUGGUAGCUGGUUCCCUC